UUGACAACUGCCACCUAUCCUGAAAAAGGGAGCUUUCCCAAGGUGGGAAAAAACUCCUCAUUCCCAGGUUAAACGCCACCUGUCCUUACUUAAAGAAGAGUGAUGAUAUACAAACAUCCAUACAUGGCAUACAUCCUUCUACACACUCCCAUGUGGCAUUUUUAAAUAAUUUUAUUAAGGGUAAUUUUGUCCAUUCACUCUCUUCCUUCACCCAUCUCCUCAUGUGACUUCUUUCACCCCUUCUAUCUCUCUCUCUCUCUCUGAACUCUCAUCCGCUCUUUCUCUCUCAAUCCAACCUCACCACUCCCUUUUCCUCCGAUCAGCCACCACCACUCUCCGUCGUCGGCAUUACCUUCGCUGACGUGAUUCUGUCUUUCCGUCGUCGUCGAACUCCUCUCACGUCUACUUAGCUCUCGCUGUUUCGACUGAGAUCCACCAUGGUGGUGAUGGUUUACGUGGUUGUUAGUAAGUUUAAUUGUAAGUCUUCAGAUAAAACAACUAACAAGAACAUGGUUGUGGAUGUUUUCUGUUUUCAUAUUCUGUUUCUGGUAUAUUAUGUUCUUUAUGCACAUAUCAAGCUUGUACAUGUGAAGAUGUUGAAGAAGAAAUUGGUGAAAGCUUUUAUGUUCCAUUAAAUAGUCAGCUCAAUGAUGUUGGUUUAGCAAUAUAGCCCCAUUUUCCAAGGCUGGAUUCUUCAGUAAGAUUUCGUUUUGGUGGUUGAAUCCAUAGUUUAUUUUUUUGUAGAAGGAGAGACCGGAAAAGGGAAAAGAGAGACAGGAAAGAGAAACAAGAAAAUAAGAAAAAUAAAAUAAAAUGCCACAUGGAGUGGUACAAAGGUGGUAUAGGAAUAAGGGUGUUUAUGUAUAAUUAUCUCUUAAAGAAUGAUAUUUGAUACUUUGUUGUCUAGAGUAGAUACAUAUAUAAUGUAUAAAACGAAUAAGAUGAUAUUUAUUAAAAUAUUUAUAUAGAUUAAAAUUGUAUAAUUCUAAUAAUUACUUUAUCAAAUAAAAAUUUGUUUCUCCACAUACAUGUGUAUUCACACACAUGCAC
rnacentral:lncRNA from 1 species